rnacentral:rRNA from 1 species
UACGUAGGCAGCAAGCGUUGUUCGGAAUUACUGGGCGUAAAGAGUGUGUAGGCGGUGCUCUAAGUUCGUUGUGAAAUCUCCCGGCUUAACUGGGAGGGUGCGGCGGAAACUGGAGUGCUUGAGCGCGGGAGAGGAAAGCGGAAUUCCUGGUGUAGCGGUGAAAUGCGUAGAUAUCAGGAAGAACACCCGUGGCUAAGGCGGCUCUCUAGUACGGUACUGACGCUGAGACGCGAAAGCGUGGGGAGCGAACAGG